CGCGGCAGGUACGGAUUCCUUGGUUCGUACAUUGGUUGGUUAUUUUGUGCUAACACCAGUUUACUGCGCUUCGAUGUCUCGCGUUAUUUAAUUUGGGGUGUAAGCCUGAAAGCUAGGUUUCAGUCGUGAGCCAUGUGGAACACGUCUGCAUCGAAAUGGGAGCCGGGUCCUGCUGCAACUGGGGACAGCAAUACCGACAUGCAGUAAUGAGGAUGGCACCAGUAUAAAGCAACACACUCCAUGCACUAAACAGAAGCUGCUGCCUGCUACAACAAGGUCAUUGUGUGGACUUUGGCUGCUACUACAAGAGUCUGUGCCAAGUACAUCUUGGUCAUCACGGGAGCCCCCAUCUACACCAACAGGAAGGGGCUGGAGCUGAAUUCGCAAGACCACAAACAAAGAAGCCAUUCCAGAAUUAUUUGGAUGAAAUAUCAAGUCUACGGACGACUGUUUCAAGAGUGAAAAGAGCCUACGCCAUCAUUCCACCAGCACGGAUAUUGGCCGAGUCAUCCAGGUACCUCAACAACAAAAAUUUUGUGUUCAGAUGUACCUGCAACCUCUGAACAAGCACAGAUGACGCUGGCUAAGAGUGUUCCAUCAGCUUGCCCUUCCUUAGUGAGCUUCCUGGCCUUGCCAGUUCUUGCCAAGUAUAAUUUUGUUUCAAUGAAUGCAAGCUUUUUCAUUCCACACUUUUGUUAGAGAUCAUUCCUAUUCCUCAGACAAACAAUAAAGGUCAACCGAUUCUUUGCUCAUACUUAAUGCCAGUCACUGUCUAGUAGCAUAACAUAUGUGUAGCAGUUCUUUCUAGUGUAUGUUGCCAUGUGCAAUGCCUCUCCUGAAAUAGCUGAUGCAGCAUUGGCGUGUGUCUUGCAUUAACCUUUACACUGUGUGCUAUGUAGCAUUUAACUUUUGUUAAUGUUUUUGGCUUUCAAUGCUUGCAAGGUAGAGUGGCUUCUUUCUUGAAUGCAAGCUUUCUCAUUCCCAUAUUGAAUUCCUAGUCUCAUUCGGGAUUGCUAUUCUUG